AGCCUGAUCCAGCCAUGCCGCGUGAGUGAUGACGGCCUUAGGGUUGUAAAGCUCUUUCAGUGGUGAAGAUAAUGACGGUAACCACAGAAGAAGCCCCGGCUAACUCCGUGCCAGCAGCCGCGGUAAUACGGAGGGGGCUAGCGUUGUUCGGAAUUACUGGGCGUAAAGCGCGCGUAGGCGGAUCUUUAAGUCAGGGGUGAAAUCCUGGGGCUCAACCUCAGAACUGCCCUUGAUACUGAAGAUCUUGAGUCCGGAAGAGGUUAGUGGAAUUCCCAGUGUAGAGGUGAAAUUCGUAGAUAUUGGGAAGAACACCAGUGGCGAAGGCGGCUAACUGGUCCGGUAC
rnacentral:rRNA from 1 species